UACGGAGGGUGCAAGCGUUGCUCGGAAUUAUUGGGCGUAAAGGGUAGGUAGGUGGUCUCAUUUGUCUGGGGUGAAAGCCUUGAGCUUAACUCAAGAAGUGCCUCAGAAACGGCGAGACUAGAGUUCUGGAGAGGGUCGUGGAAUUCCCGGUGUAGCGGUGAAAUGCGUAGAGAUCGGGAGGAACACCAGAGGCGAAGGCGGCGACCUGGACAGAUACUGACACUCAACUACGAAAGCGUGGGGAGCAAACAGGAUUAGAAACCCCCGUAGUCC
rnacentral:rRNA from 1 species